UGCUCAGAACGAACGCUGAUGGCGUGCCUCAUACAUGCAAGUCGAGCGCACCGCAAGGUGAGCGGCGAACGGGUGAGUAACGCGUGAACAAUCUGCCUCAAAGUGGGGGAUAACCAUUCCAACGGAUGGCUAAUACCGCAUAGGGUUCGGGAGCGGCAUGGCUUCCCUACGAAAGCAUUUAUGCGCUUUGAGAUGAGUUCGCGUCCCAUUAGCUAGUUGGCGGGGUAACGGCCCACCAAGGCAACGAUGGGUAGCCGGCCUGAGAGGGUGUCCGGCCACAUUGGGACUGAGAUACGGCCCAGACUCCUACGGGAGGCAGCAGUAGGGAAUUUUGCGCAAUGGGGGAAACCCUGACGCAGCAACGCCAUGUGUGGGAUGAAGCAUUUCGGUGUGUAAACCACUGUCGGCAGGGAAUAAAGGCCCACAUUUAUGUGGGGGUAAUGACCUC
rnacentral:rRNA from 1 species